GCCCACCUGGCCGGCACGCAUUUCCAGUCCGAGCUCUCGUCUCUAGCUCUUCCGUUCGCGUCUCUGCUCCAACCCUUUUCCUUUCCUCUUUGUUCCUCAGAUACAGCAGACUCUUUCCCGCCCCAGUGUCUCUGUUCUCAGGCUACUUCCCCUUCCUGAAGACGGGUUCCAAGAGGAGUCAGAGGUUCCGCGCGCCCUUCGGCCCCCAGGGCAGUGCCUCCUAUAGGUUAGCUGUGGAACACUAGGUGAGAAGCUGAAAUCCUAUAAUCUCUCCUGAUAGUGAAGAGAAUGCCCUAGUUGAUCUCUGGAGUCAUGCUGCUGCUGCUGCUAAGUCGCUUCAGUCGUGUCUGACUCUGUACGACCCCACAGACAGCAGCCCACUAGGCACCCCUGUCCCUGGGAUUCUACAGAGCCAUCUGGAGAAACACAACCUAAACACCAACAAUUCCUCAAAGUCUACUUCCAUCAAGAAGUCUCCAGGGUCCCCUAGCUGAAAUAAAUCUUCUGCCCUUUCUGCCACUAAUCACCUUCCCCAAAUCCCCAUAUUUGUCAUAAACUUUUAUCACAGAACCUAUGUGAAUGAUUGUGAAGCCCUGUAGGGGUUUUAAAAAGCCAUGCUCUGUCCUUCCAACAGCUUGUGCGUGCAUGCUAAGUCACUUCACUUGUAUCUGACUCUUCUCGACCCCAUCGACUGUAGCCUGCCAGGCUCCUCUGUCCAUGGGAUUCUCCAGCCCCAGAAUGAGGAAGCCAAGAAGAUAUCCCUUGCCACAGAAGUAACAUAAAACCGACUACAGAUGCUUCUCCAGAUCACCAGGGGAGAACCAAGCUUACGGACUGCCAACGGUUUUGGAAUAAGAUUCCUUGAGCUCUCUUCUCACAUCCUUCUCCACAUAUCUACCCUGCAGGACUUCCUGCAUAGUCAGGACCUUAUGGAGACAGCUGAAAUUUUGUCCACAGCCUGGCUUCUCUCUGGGGUUACAUUUCCUAUUACUUAGUAGACAUCUUCACCUGGAAAUCCCAUGGGCACUUCAAAGUCAAUCUCAAGCAAACUUCCUUACCAGCUUUUCAUUCUCCUGGUCUCAAUCCUUAUCUUCCCUCUGUAUUCUUCCUCUUAGAGACUUGCAGUCAGCACCUUAACCCAAGGCAGAAUCCACAGCUCUCCCUGUCCACGUGCAAUACAUUACCAGGUUUUUUGAAGAAUAUCUUUUACAAAGCUCUCAAGUCCUUUCCUCACUCCCUGACUUCUGGCCCCACAUUCCAUACACGGAUCACUUCGGUUGACUCUCAGCCUCCCGAACCCCCUCCUCAAAGCCACCCUCUACCUCACAGCCAGCUGCAUUUUAUAAAAGGUGAGGAAUCACAGCACCAAUAGCUGAAAAUCAUCCUCUGACCGUGUCUCCUCCCCUCUCUCCCAUCAAUCACAUCCAUAAAUGAGCCUGCGUUAUAGCUGAGCCUAACACAUGACUUGGCAAAUGAGGAGCCAAGUGUGGACCUACUUCCACAUCUUUGCCUUCAGCUUUUUGAUCCAUGCCUC